rnacentral:rRNA from 1 species
AGUCUUUUAAWGGKGACUUGUAUGAAUGAUUGGAUGAAAWAUWAACUGGCUCUUUWUUAUUAAGUGGAAUUUAAUUUUUUAAUUAAAAAGUUAAAAUGUAAUUAAAAGACGAGAAGACCCCAUAGAGUUUUAUAUAAUUAUUUAAUUUGAAAUUAUUUAUAAAUUUAUAAAAAAAUUUAAAUUAAGUGAUUUUAUUUUAUUGGGGUGAUAGAAAAAUAAAUUUAACUUUUUUUUUAUGUAAAACAUGAAUAAGUGAUUAUUUGAUCCAGAAUUUUUGAUUAUAAGAAAAAAUUACCUUGGGGAUAACAGCGUAAUUUUUUUUUUUAGAUCAAAUAAAAAAAAGAGUUNGCGACCUCGAUUUUGGAUUAAGAUAAAAUUUAAAUGC